UACGGAGGGUGCAAGCGUUAUCCGGAUUUACUGGGUUUAAAGGGUGCGUAGGCGGGCCUUUAAGUCAGUGGUGAAAGCUCCGAGCUUAACUCGGAAACUGCCAUUGAUACUAUUGGUCUUGAAUUCGGUCGAGGUUGGCGGAAUGUGUCGUGUAGCGGUGAAAUGCUUAGAUAUGACACAGAACACCGAUUGCGAAGGCAGCUAGCUAGACCGACAUUGACGCUGAGGCACGAAAGCGUGGGGAUCAAAC
rnacentral:rRNA from 1 species